rnacentral:rRNA from 1 species
CUGCUGCCUUCCGUAGGAGUUUGGACCGUGUCUCAGUUCCAAUGUGGGGGACCUUCCUCUCAGAACCCCUACGCAUC